UGUGGUAUUUAGAAAAUUAAGUUUUGAAACACAUAUGCUUGCUUUAAACCUCAAAAUUCAACAAGGAUGGGGUUGAGCGAAAUAACUGUUAGGUGAGGGAUCCAAUGACGACCUUGCAUCUGCUUGUGAAUGAUGGAUCGGGCUUAACUAAGGAGUGUGGGUAAUGACUGUUAGGUGAGCCCAUAUGACUUAGAGAUCAAAUCACUGUAACAUGCUUAAAGAAGUAUCUGGGCAAAGAGUUGCCUACGUAUUGGUAUGCAUGUUACCAAUAACUGUUAGGUGAGAUGCAUGACAUCAGUGGGACCGCAGCACCCACUAGGAAUCUUUUGUCACAUUAAGAUUUUCAUUUCCUUCCUGGGGAGUGGAGAGAUCCGAUAAAUUAGUAGGAGUCAUUGUUUUCAUCUUAAAGUUUUUAGAAACAAAUAUAAUAUUAAGUAUAAAAAUUUAACUUGAAUCUCUACUCUCACAAUUAAACCAUGUCAGCCUCAAAUCCUUUAGCCCGCAUCCUUGAAACCAAUCGUUUGAUCAGUACAAAUUACAAAGGCUGGCUCAGAAAUCUCAAGAUUGUCCUGACCUCAGAAAAACUAAGUUAUGUACUUGACCAGGAGCCCAUAGUGUUACCAAACCAUCCUACUGUUGAGCAAAGGGUUGCUUUUGAGAAGUAGACAGAUGAAAAUAAUCAG
rnacentral:lncRNA from 1 species